rnacentral:rRNA from 1 species
CAGGAUGAACGCUGGCGGUAUGCUUAACACAUGCAAGUCGAACGGGCUCUUUCGGGGGCAAGUGGCGGACGGGUGAGUAACGCGUGAGAAUCUGGCUCUAGGUUCGGGACAACCACUGGAAACGGUGGCUAAUACCGGAUGUGCCGAGAGGUGAAAGGUUAACUGCCUGGAGAUGAGCUCGCGUCUGAUUAGCUAGUUGGUGGUGUAAGGGACUACCAAGGCGACGAUCAGUAGCUGGUCUGAGAGGAUGAUCAGCCACACUGGAACUGAGACACGGUCCAGACUCCUACGGGAGGCAGCAGUGGGGAAUUUUCCGCAAUGGGCGAAAGCCUGACGGAGCAAUACCGCGUGAGGGAGGAAGGCUCUUGGGUUGUAAACCUCUUUUCUCAGGGAAUAAGCAAGUGAAGGUACCUGAGGAAUCAGCAUCGGCUAACUCCGUGCCAGCAGCCGCGGUAAUACGGAGGAUGCAAGCGUUAUCCGGAAUGAUUGGGCGUAAAGCGUCCGUAGGUAGCAGUGUGUGUCUAUUGUUAAAGAGUUUGGCUUAACCAAAUAAAGGCGGUAGAAACUACACAGCUAGAGUGCGUUCGGGGCAGAGGGAAUUCCUGGUGUAGCGGUGAAAUGCGUAGAGAUCAGGAAGAACACCGGUGGCGAAAGCGCU